AAAAUAAAAAGGAAACAUAUGUACUACUCUUUGUAAUAUCUUAAGCAAUAAAACAAAAUAAAAAAAUACGUUAAAAACAAACAAUGAAAUUCAUGUUUUAGAAAAUAAAGUAUGGCCUUCGGAAAGGCCACAAAGUCAUUUGCCAGCAGUUGUAAAACAUCACUUUUUUGGGGGGUAUAUUUCAGAGUAAUCGCACAGCCCUGUAUACGGGAAGUCAGUCUCGGGUUGUUUACAAGACGGGGUAAAUAAUCUAUUCAAACAGCUACAGCCGGGGCGACAGAUAACUUAAAAGCUCUUUUUCUAAUGUGCUGGUUGUGUUAAAAGACUUUUUAAAAAUGACUCCUACUUGCUGUUUUCAUAAUUUAAAUUUGGUCCAGGGUAUUAUUAUUUGUUCUCUCAGUGUGAGAUAAGGAGAGGGGAGGGUGGCAUGAAUGGUUGGAAGGCAGUGCCAAGGAGGAAGUGGGGGGGAUGAGAUUACAAGAACACAUUGUUGCUUACAGUGCGUGCAGGGUGCAGUUAAGGUAUGGCUGGUUCCUUUGGGGCUUGGUUGCCAUUCAGUUUUUCUAAAACGGUUCUUGAGAUGUGUCUCUACUUGGCAGGUGACUGGCCGGUUCGGCUCGUUGCCAGCAUCAUGGUGCUCAGUUUGGGAAUCUGUCUGAUUGAUGUUCCUGAAUGGACCAUCUGUGGCAGAGGAGGAAACGGUGGGAAGUGACUGGAGGGCCCCUCAGGACACUGGCCGGAUAACCCUUCCGCGCACAGACUGUGCACAGGGCAUGAAUAACCGUCAUUCCUUGGAGCGUUCGCAGUGACUGGCAGGCGCCGUGAGAGCGCUGAGCGCGUUGUUUCCUGGAGUGUUUACGUACUCAGCGAGCAUUGACAGCACCCCCACCCACGCCGGUCCUGUGCUCGGCUGGAGGGAGCAUUGUGAACACGGCAGUCUUCAUCCAGAUGUCUGGCACCGUGCAGGCAGGGCCUGGCCGCAGCCUCAGACCCGCUUCCAUGGGAACAUGUCAUGUUCUCCGUUUGUUUUGGACGGCAGUUUCCUUCUUGUGUGGACAGAUACAUAUGAAACACAUGCUCUCCGCGUGGAGUUUGUGGUCCUCUGAGAAUUCUCUGGAGGAGGAAAUGGGUUGACCUAUUUGGUUGCUAUGAAGUAAAAACAAUCUUGUUUUCAUUUUUCAGUGAACAUCUGGGUUGCAUUUAUUAUUUUACAUUCUAGAGGUUCUUUUUAAAGCCACAAUUUGAUAAUGUGAGGGUUCAUUAAAGCAGUAACUAGCUGUUUCUGUAAUCAAAUUAAGUGCUAGGGUGGCUGGUAGUUUUAAACAAAUAUUAAAAAAUUGUUUUCUUUUCUACAAAAUGUAACUUCCAAAUGUCAGCCCUUGGUUUUAAACCAUAAAACGGGAUUUAGAUAUUUUGGGAGGAAGGAUUGGUCACCCGGUUUACUCCCUGCUGCCCACGGCGGUGCAGGGUGUGGCCAUGCGGGGCUGUAUCUGCCCCUAAACAGGACCAUCCCCCCUCGUCCUUGUAAAGAGCCCUGAUUCUGGCCCUGACCGGUUUGCCUCAGUGCAUAGAGCGUCAGCCUGCGGACUCAAGGGUCCCGGGUUCAAUUCCAGUCAAGGGUAUGUACCUUGGUUGUGGGCACAUCCCCAGUAGGGGGCGUGCAGGA